UGUGGUUUUUGCACCUGUUAUGGUUUGAUAACUAGUGGUCAACUUAACGCCAGCUGGAUUACAUCAGCAUGCAUUGAGAGAAGAUGCUCCACCUGAGGAGGGUUGCCAGGAUAAAUAGGUGGAGAAGAAGAGCUGUGUGGAGAGGGAUUGAGGCGUUAUGGAGGCAUUGUUGGUUCUCCUACAAGUUGCUGUCUGAGCUGUUGGUUCUCCUGGAGAAGCUUGGGUCUUCACAUCAAGCAUUGCUUCCUGGCUCUGGAGGGGAAGACAUGUGCUGCCUGGUCUCCAGGGUGAACUCCUCACGCUGUUUCCUGGCACGUUCCCGACUGUGCUUGUUGUCAGAGGAGCACGGGGCCUCCGUGUCGCUGAGGACAGCUGUGGUUCCUUUCAGGACAGCCCCGCUCUUUGUUGUGAGUGUGACUUCUCAGCUCCAGUGUAGAACCCUCAUCCCACUAGCACAGCUCCUUCAUCCUGCUGGCAUGGACUUUCUGGCUUCCACCGCUGACCCUUGGGUCUUCCCGGCAUGAAUCCGUAAAAGAGACUGGCGUGAUUCCUUCUUGUGGGCUCUGGACUUCCAGUUGGACUCGUGGAGGCAUUGUCCUGAGCUCUGGGUUUUUAUCUGGACUCAUGUGGGACAUUGCCAUGGGGUGUAAACUCUUGACUAAAUAAUCUAUGUCGUUGGUGUUGCGGAUGGAUUUCCUGCAUUCUCCUGUGUUAACUUCCAGUGACCAUUAUAAAAAUAUUAUAAACUCCAUGUCCUGAUCUGAAUUGUUCUCUGUGUAUAACCCCGGACUACAACAGCACCGUUUCCAACUUUCUCACUGAUUUCAAUCUUAUGUUGUUCUUCUUUGCUGCAUCCUGCAGUGUCAGUGUCGCUCCCGGCCUGCAGGAAGAACACGCGACAGAUUCUGACGGCCUCACGUCCGCCAAGUAAAGCGACCGGUGUCGGCCGCGGCUCCCAACACUGCAGCUGUUGGAUUCAUUUUUCAUGGUCUCAGGAGUUUUAAGUCUCCAGCAGUGGAGGGAGUGUGGGUGGAUCUCAGGUUUCGUUGCCCAGCUGCACCAUGCCAGGUCAGUGGAGGAAGAGAAGAGCCAAACUCAUACUCUGCCAGCCACAACCAUCCUGGAUUAGUGGAAAAAGGAAUUUCCAGUCUUCUCCUGUGAUUUAUAUUAGACAUUGAAUGACUUCUUUCUCUGGAGAAACUAACUCUGACAGUUGGGCACCGUUAGUAAUGCACUGGAUACAUUAGUGUGUGUUAUAAUACUGUGGCCAUCUUAUGGUAUGAUUUAGGUGUAUCCUAAUUUAAAAAUUCUAGGAUAUCAAUUAUUUGACAUCUUCACAAAUCAAUGUAAAAGGGGCUAUGAUCAAAAAAUUACAUUCUGUAAAAUUCAAUAUCGAGUAUGUAUGUGAAGAAGGGUAAUAUAUAUUAGAUUUAUGUCAUUUUAAAACAUAGCAUUAGGAAGUCCAACAAGAUAUGAGUUUCUAUGGGUCUUAAUCACAAAUCAAGAAUUUGAGUGGCUGGAGAUUUAGCUCAGCAGCGUAAGUGCCUGACUGACAUGUGCAAGGUCAUGAGUUUGAUCCCCAGUUUUAAAAAAAAAAAUAUGGAGAAGAAUUUGUUCCUAAGAAAUUUCUAUUUGAACAAUAUUACAUAUUGUAACAAAGUAUUAUUGUCCCCUAAAAGGUUGCUGAAAAUACAUAAACUCAUCAAUAGACACUUUGUGUUAACAAGGUGCUAAUAUGACUCAUAUAUUAACAUCAGAGAAAUAUUAAACUAGAAAAAUAUAUAAUUCGCUGUAUUUUCACUUGUAAUAAAUUAUCUAAUUGACCGGGAUCUUUUAUCAUGGUUGUUGGAUUUACUGGAUUAAGGAAUACUUAGCAAGCUCCUAGGUCUGUAUGUGGAGCAUUUCCAGAGAUGACUGUCACGUGGCCAGCAAAAAGAAAAGGGAAGACCCUCCCUAAGUAGGGGACAGCAUCCAAUAUGCUCUCAGCAGAAUGCAAAUAAAAAAGGAAAAUGGAAGAAGUCAGGCUGCAUUUUAAAAGCUGCAUUCUGUGUGACCUAGUGCAUCUGUUACUCCUGCUGUCACAUGUGGCCAUCAGACUCCAGUUUCUUUGGCUUUUUGUCUUGUAUUCACACCAGUGGUGCUUCAAGGAGAUUCCAGUCCUGGUGCUGCGUCCGUUUCCCACUGUGGCUUCUAGUUUCUUAAACUGUGAAGGAUCUUCUUUCUCUCCAGAGUGACAUGUGCAUUGUGGAUUAUUCUAACUCUGAGUGUGGAAGCCUGCUUAUGUAUCUUUUUGUUAACUUUAUAGUUUUUGAUGUUGAUAGUCUUCCUCUAGAGAACCCUAACCAAUGCCUAACAUGAUGUAUAGGAUUCAUUUAGGGAGUUUGACUGUCUCAAGAUCAGAGAGACUUAUUAAAGCCAUAUUAUUACCUGUGCUACCCUGUACUUUUGGAUGCCAUAUUCAAUUUAGCAGUUGUAUAUUAUUUUUCUGUGAAGUUCUGGCUUCCCCUCAAACUCCUUGCAUUUAUGUUCAUUAUUCUUUUUAUGA